GCAGGGGCCCCCGAACAGACUGGGGAGCCCUGGACCGGGCCGCUGGAGUUUAAGGGCUGCAAUAGGGCGCUCCGGCCCUGCGCCCCGAGAUAGCCCGAGGCACUGGCCUGCACGGGCCGAUAAGGCUGCCUGAGGGAGCCUAGUCACCGGCAGCCAGCAGAGCCCAGCGGGCUCCGCUGCCCCGUGGGAGAGACCCCCUCCGCCCCGGGGGGCUCCAGCCCCAGGGAGGAGCUCGCAGCUCUUUCGGCCUGACUCUUCCUUCUCUACUGCAGCCCUAAGGAGACCCACCUGAAGACUAACGAGUUGCCAUGGCUUCCUACUACGAGAUCCUAGACGUGCCGCGAAGUGCAACUGCUGAUGACAUCAAAAAGGCGUAUCGGAGGAAGGCUCUACAGUGGCACCCAGACAAGAAUCCAGAUAAUAAAGAGUUUGCUGAGAAGAAGUUCAAGGAGGUGGCCGAGGCAUAUGAAGUGCUGUCUGACAAGCAUAAGCGGGAGAUCUACGACCGCUAUGGCCGGGAAGGGCUGACUGGGGCAGGAACUGGCCCAUCUCGGGCGGAAGCUGGCGGUGGUGCGCCUGGCUUCACCUUCACCUUCCGCAGCCCUGAGGAGGUCUUCCAGGAGUUCUUUGGGAGUGGAGACCCUUUUGCGGAGCUCUUUGAUGACCUGGGCCCCUUCUCAGAGCUUCAGAACCGGGGUGCCCGACACUCAGGCCCUUUUUUCGCCUUCUCUUCCUCCUUCCCUGGGCACUCUGAUUUCUCCUCCUCGUCUUUCUCCUUCAGUCCUGGGGCUGGUGCUUUUCGCUCUGUUUCUACAUCUACCACCUUUGUCCAAGGACACCGCAUCACAACACGCAGAAUCAUGGAGAACGGGCAGGAGCGGGUGGAAGUGGAAGAGGACGGGCAGCUGAAGUCUGUCACAAUCAAUGGUAUCCCAGACGACCUGGCACUGGGCUUGGAGCUGAGCCGUCGCGAGCAGCAACAGUCUGUCGCCUCCAGGUCUGGGGCCACGCAGGUCCGGCAGACCCCUGCCUCACGUUCCCCCGACAGCGACCUCUCUGAGGAUGAUGAGGACCUGCAGCUUGCCAUGGCUUACAGCCUAUCAGAGAUGGAGGCAGCUGGGAAGAAACCAGCAGGUGGGCGGGGGGCACAGCGACGACGGCAGGGGCAGCCUAAGGCCCAGAACCAAGAUCCGGGCACAGUGGGGACCCCUGAGGGUGCAAGGGGUGACACAGCCAAACCCAGCCCAUCUCCAGAGGAGAAGGCCUCUCACUGCCUCAUCCUCUGAUCACCAGGCCCAAUCCACCCUGAUUCAGGGUGACCAGGGGUCCUGCUCACUAUCAGGCAAGCAGAGAGGGGCGUGACCUGAGUUACAGGCGCCUCCCCGCACCUCUGCCUCCACGCUCCCUCCCAGGUCCACACACCUCCAGUGUGGACUUGGGAUUUGCUGUGCUCAGCCCAUGGCUGAUAGGUCCCUGGUGAAGCCCAGGGUGGAGGGUGGGGGGGUCACAGGGCAGCCAGAGGGCCUGAGGAGUCAGGAUGCGCUUACUCUUAUUAGAAGGGGAGUUUCUAAGGGGCAUUAGUGGCUUGGGUCAGGCUUUUUGUGCCUUGGUCUUCUGCCAUCUAUGUUGCUGAUGAUAUUAAGGAAGGAGGACUUGGCCUGAGGUUCUCUGAGCCAGAGUUGGCAGCUACAACUCCCCUUGUCCGGCUGCAGACACCCCCACCCUGGUUUCUGCGCAGUGUUGAGCUCUGACGUGUCUGUCGCUUCCCUCCUGGUGCUGCUUCUCCCUUGCACUCUUCUCUCUGCAAUUCCCCGCGGGCCACAUCGCUUGCUUUCACUGCCGUCUGGCUGGGACUCCCUUCUUCCUUCCCCCAGAGGCCUCUUUGUGGCAAGGAAGAUGCUGUGGCCGGUAGGGCCAUAAGGUCUUCCGGGGAGGCUAGCUGGGUGGGGCGGGAGCCUCUCAGCCAUCCAGAUUCGGAACCGGAGCCCACUCCUCCUCCCUUCCUCUUGCUGCCUCAGCCUGCCCCAGGCCUUGGGACUAGCCAGAGAUGUGUUCUGAGCUGGAUGUCCUGGACCCAGAGUCGCUGCACAGUUCCAACAGGACAGCGCCCAACCCUGUGUACUGGGAGGGGACCCUCCAUUCCUCUCCCUCACCCGUGCUGAGCGUAGAGCCGGGCCUGGGUGGUGGGUGGGGGGCCGGGUGGGAGGUAGUCUUAGCCUGUAAACGCUUCCCUGGGUGUUUGGUGCUGUCGCUUAGGGACUACAAGUCCCAGAAUGCAACGCACCCUGCCUCCUAUCUGAUAGAUCCUGCUUGGGGGAAGUGGUAUGUGGUUACAGAGCUGUGCAUCUUGGGACGUGUAGUUCCUGCCCUGGUCAGCCUCUCACUCACUGUGAGAUGGGGAGAUCUUGUCAUUUGAUUUGUCCCUGGCAGGGGUGGCAAGAAUGUGGAUGAAGGGGUAAUGGUCCGAGCUUUGCUUCCCUGACACCUCUUGCUAGUGCCGGGGUUAGAGUGUACAAAUCAAGGCCCUGCAGCAUCUGGGAGAGGCUCUUCCUGUGGGCAGUCCUGUGGUCCAAGAUUGAGCCAGGCAGAUCAACUAAGCCGGGUGUGGUCUCAGAAGGCUAGUGGGUAUGGGCUGGCAGAGAUCUUGGAAGGGAAGGCUUCCCUAGCCCUCCAGUGUUUGUGUGUCUGUGUGUGUGUGUGUGUGUACGCACGCGCACGCGCGUGUGUGGCUGGAACUAGCGUGUGAUGGGUGCUCCAGGCAUGUUGCUGCUUGUAUGGCUUCUUUGGCCUCUGACCCUGCUGCCUAUUCUUUCUCUCCAACACCACAGAAGCUGCCUCUCCUCCUCCCUGCGUGGGGAGCCUGGUGGCCAGGGAGGGGAGUGGUGGAGCCAGGGUGUUGCCAGCCUCAGUGUCGUUGAGUCCCAGAGACCUCUCAAAGCCAGCUGGGCUGAGCUCAGACCAAGAGGGAAACACUGGAAGUCAAUAAAGCUGAAUUUUGAAAGCUG